UACAGAGGUCUCAAGCGUUGUUCGGAUUCAUUGGGCGUAAAGGGUGCGUAGGUGGCGCCGUAAGUCGGGUGUGAAAUUUCGGAGCUUAACUCCGAAACUGCAUUCGAUACUGCGGUGCUUGAGGACUGGAGAGGAGACUGGAAUUCAUGGUGUAGCAGUGAAAUGCGUAGAGAUCAUGAGGAAGACCAGUGGCGAAGGCGGGUUGCUGGGCCGACACUGACGCUGAGGCGCGAAAGCUAGGGGAGCGAACGGG
rnacentral:rRNA from 1 species